rnacentral:rRNA from 1 species
CAGCCGCCGCGGGAACACGAAGGGUGCAAGCGUUACUCGGAAUUACUGGGCGUAAAGCGCACGUAGGCGGCUUGGUAAAUUAGAGGUGAAAGCCUGGAGCUCAACUCCAGAAUUGCCUUUAAGACUGCCGAGCUAGCAGGUGAGAGAGGUAAGUGGAAUUCCGAGUGUAGAGGUGAAAUUCGUAGAUAUUCGGAAGAACACCAGUGGCGAAGGCGGCUUACUGGCUCAUACUGGACGCUGAGGUGCGAAAGCGUGGGGAGCAAACAGGAUUAGAUACCCGCGUAGUCCCUGUCUCUUAUAC